CGGCAAUCAACGGGGAGCUCACACGAGUGGGCUGAGAGGAUGGGUACUGUCCCAUCGACCCUUCGAACCUGCUCCGGGUAAUGCCGGCGUAGGGAAAGACAGGCGGCGUUGC
rnacentral:ncRNA from 1 species